rnacentral:rRNA from 1 species
UACGUAGGGGGCUAGCGUUGUCCGGAAUCAUUGGGCGUAAAGAGCGUGUAGGCGGUCCGGUAAGUCCGCUGUGAAAGUCGGGGGCUCAACCCUCGAAUGCCGGUGGAUACUGUCGGGCUAGAGUGCGGAAGAGGCGAGUGGAAUCCUGGUGUAGCGGUGAAAUGACGCAGAUAUCAGGAGGAACACCUAUUGCGAAGGCAGCUCGCUGGGACGUAACUGACGCUGGAGACGCGAAAGCGUGGGGAGCAAACAGG